CUCAAGUCUCAAAGCACUUUGUAUGUAUACAAACGCACUGUGGAGAUCUGACUUUUUGAGUGAGAGAGACGCAGUCCAGGCUGUCCCCCACAGUGAUAUAAAUGCUCACAGAUAUUAUUUUCUUGGGACCCUGUGAAAGACACAUGGAAGAGUGAAAAGAUCAAUUCUACAACACUCUGGAGUCUGUGAGACUUUUCCCAAUGACCAUGGUAUGAACGUGACAAAAAGGAUCCCUGAUGUUCAGAUAGCAGUACACAGUCACUGUAAUACAGCAGUUGCUUGGAUGUAAACUCCUCUGGAUAAUAAGCAGAUGAUAAACAGGUAUGGAUGCCAAGAGAACAUGUUCCAUGAUCUUUCCAGGAAUGGCUUUCUCUCUGCGCUUUUCUCACUGUACUUCAUGCUGCUAUAAUCGUUGUCUACCCUUUACAAGAUCUCAGAUGCUGCAAUACAUUUAUUUGUAACAAUGACAGUAAGCAGACUCACCACCUUCAAUCAGACUACAAUCUCCAGCAUAAGUCAUGUAAACAUGUAGCUUGCAUUCUCAAAACAGAAGAGACUAAUGCCAAAUCCAAACAUCCUUCAGAUGCAAAAACUUAACAAGAAACAUAAAAUAAGAGGUUUCUUCUCAUUGAAAUAGGCUGUUAGGGCUUAGAAGAGCCUGAAAGAAUCACCCAUUCUUACUGCUCUUCCAAGGAAACUUUCCAAGCAUGGACAGAAACUGAUCCACGUAUCUUGCAGCUGGAGCUAGGAAGUAAAUUAGUCCAUCUGGUCAUCAGACUCCUUGCCCAUGUAACAGAUUAACCACUUUGUCAUUAAUAGCUUUUCAAACGCCUUGUGAAGGCGGUUGCAGCAAUUACACUUUCAGUGAUACUCGCUUGUAUUAGGACUUGAAACCUUUUUACCCACAUUAAAUGUUUAUACUAUGUUUAUUUACCAUAACACCUGAAUAUCAUAAUAUAUGUGGCCUCAGAAAUCUCCUGGGAAUAGGAAAAUAAUAUUACUUUCAGCUUCUGGGUGAGGAGAGGUCCAUACAUGUUGAGCUCUCUCAUAUGUUGAACUCAACAUCCGUCUUCUGGCAAGACUUACCCUUUCAGUUUUGAAAACAGGAAUUUGUUUCAGCCUCUUGGACCCUGCAACACUGAUCACAGACACAUGUGAUUAGAGUGCACUCCUUGGGUGUAGAAGCUGCAGUAUGGGAGGUGACAAAGAAAGCUGAUAACCUCCUCUCACUGUGGAGAGACCACAAGUGAACCCAUGUCCUCUGACUUGAGCUGCAGAUGGUAGGCAUCACAGCCUCCUUUUCUGCCAACUGCUUCUAUGUGGAACUGGGCCCACCAGGUUGAUGGAGUGUCUGCCCUGAGGGACCCGAACCAUUCUGAAUUGCUCAGCACUUACCCUGGAGCAUAUACUGCGUCAUGGGCAUAUCCAUGGGGCACUCAUGAAUUAGAAGAGGUUCCUAUGCUUGUAUGUGCUUACUUAAUGUUUGUAGAUGGUGUAUUUUGAAAUGCCUUUAGUAAGCUAGCAAUUGUGAUUACAUUUGAAUAGUAGAGGGAACUCAGUGUCAUUAAAAAUAACACUAUGUCUAUUAACUCAAUUUCUUCACCUUUUAUUUUUGUUUUCACCUUAUUUCUUCCAAAAAAAAUCACCUUAUAUUCUCUUAAGGUACAGGUACAACCAAUCAGUGGCUUAUAUAUUGCCUUCAUGAAUCUUCUUCCUAUGUUCCAGAAUAACUUACAAUUUUUCCUCACAUUUAUACAUCUGUUUUUGGGGACUGUAUGGACUGAUUAAUACUCUUUUCCUUCCUAUUGUCUACAGUAGCCUAUAUUCCUGUAUUUUGAAGUUUUGUUAGUAUAACUGUACAUGGGAAAUUGCAGCCUCAAGAUUAAAUGGAACUUUAACUCAAGAGAUGACACAUUUCUACCACUUAUCUAUGCAUUUCUUUAAUAGAAUAAUAUAUAAAGGAACUAUUCUUUACAUUUACCUUCAUUUCCAGACUCAAAAAAUAAAGACCAUGUUGCUGACAUUUAUUUGUCAGCUGGAGUAACUUCCUGUGCUUGGGAAAAUAAGACUUUUAGCCCUACAGAAAGGAUCCUUCUGUGAAGGAAUAAUGGCUUGUGUUAAAUGUCUUGGGAUAAAAAAUUACUUCACUAAGUACAUUAAGCACUGGCUAUUCCAUGAUAUCUUUCAAGUACCGCUCUCCUUGCGGCAGAAACUAACAGCCUUGAGAAUGAUGCCCAGGCUUUCAUUUCAGUGCCUCAAAAGCACGUAGUAGCUCAAGUCGGAAAAUGAAAGGAUCAGUGGAAAGCCAAAAGAAAUGACGAAGACUUCCAUGGAGAUCAAGGACAAAUAGGAACAUGACCCCGUGGAUGAGUGGUGCAUCCAGUCCCUGUUCCUAUGGAAUUGCUCUCAAAGGUAUGAGUCCUGAUCUGGGCGAAUCAUCUGACCUUCAGAUAUUAUAUCCAAGGCAGGACGGCUUCCUCUUUUGCAGAGUCUGUUCUGAGCAGGGCCUCACCUGGUAUGUUUGCAUUGUGGAGCAAAGUCCUGGCAUAAACUACAUCAAUCCUGACUACGCUCACAAACAUGAUAUCAAAAGCAGAAGCGUCAGUGUGGGGUAGGAUCCAUCUGUGGAGAGCUCUGAGGAGUGCAGACUGGAAUUCCAGUGCUUGAAGUUGACACCUAGUAAGAUUUUGCCAUUUAACUCCGUUCAUGAUCCAAGCUUACUCUUUUCAUGCCACUUAUUCAAAGAUCCGUUUCUAGAUUUCCAGCUGGAAAAUCCAUGGAAUUUCAGCUGAUAUUAUGACUAUGCAGGGUGUAGAUGUUACACAAGUCUGUAGUUCUCUUUUCCACAGUAAACAAAAUUAAAAUAUCCCAAACUGGAAUUUUCUUCCCCUAAAAAGCCAGUAGUGCAACUUUGUGAUUUAUUUCUUCUGUAAUGUAGGGACAAUAAUGUCUUGCUAUUGACAAAUGAAAAUGAUAAUAAAAAUCCAAAUGACAGCCACUUAACCUAACCCUGAACAAGGCCGACAUAUUGAAAAAUCAGGAUUACCUGUAAAGUCCUUUCUGACCUGGAUUGUAAAACUUCUGGCUCAAUCAUUUCCCACUCUUUUCCCAGUUAUAUUAAAUUUCAUUGAUGCAAAGACUGGCAAGUUAAAGGAAGUGAUUCUUCCCUCUACCCCACGCUCAUGAAUACUCAUCUUUGUCUUAGAAAGACAGGUAACAAACAUGCAUUAAUUACUUUAUAUUCUAAAAAGAGCUCUAGAAGCUCUUGAGAAACACUGUUAUUUAUUUCUGAGAGAAAGUGUUUUGCUAUAUUAUUAGAGAUACACUAGAUACUAAAUAAAAUUGUAAGGUAAAAUCUUUAAGGUAUCAGAAGUGUCACCAUGAACCCCUGAUUUUCUAAGCUAACAAUAGAUCUUUAGCUACUUAUUUCCUAAAUGUAGCAUUUUGACUAUGCUUUUUAGAUCUGAAAAAAAUGAGGAAUGUAAAUAAGUUGCAAAAUCUCAUCAAGAGUGCACAAAGAAAAGACAACGGACAUAAACUGCAUAAUUCUGGCCAGAUAUAUGGGGGGGGGGGAAAUCACCACAAGUUUAAUCAAAUACCGCAGCAAGUCGCACAGGGAAGCUGUGGAAUUUCCAUCCUUGGAAAUACUGAGAGCUCAGCCAGGUGAGUCUCUGAGGAAGUAACAGGGUAAGUCCUUGGCUGUGCUGGGUGAUCUCCAGAGCUUCCUUACAACCUAAUUUUUUGUAUGGUUCUAUGAUUAUGACUACAUAAAGACCUCUGUCACAGUCACAUCAUCAUGGGAUGACACUGUGUGAGUUCAUAUCAGCCCCCUGAUGUCACAGCAUCGAUAAUGUGGGUUUCAUUUUUGUUUCUAUUUUAUACUAUGUCAAUCCUGACAGAGCCUGAAAAUUUUUAAAUCAGAACAUUGUGGUUUCACCAAACUUCUCCAAGAAUGACCAUGGUCAUAUCUUAAAUGCUUAUUAUAUUAAUUGCUUUAGUUGGAAAGCUUACCAAAUGCUGCUUGAUUACCAAGCUCCUAAUUUUUCACAGCAAAUGUAGGUUCAUAACUAAUAAAACUAGUGUUACCUGUAUUGUCAAGAGUUUCAACAUUUUUUACUUAUCUAGAUGGCCUCUUAUUCAAGUUACUUUGGAAGUGUCGUGGAAUAUGUAUAUCAGUUAUAUGUGGCUUAUACGUAUUUCUUCUUUGGUGAAAUGAAAAAUUUAAUUAUAUGAAAAAAAUGCAAAUUGCUGCCAACUGUGUUAACUGUGAGAGAGUUGCAUUAUCUUCUAACAUAAAUUGUCAGUGAAUUGAAGAAAAGGCAUUUUGGAAGCUGAUCUGAUUACUGUCAGGGAAAGUGCUCAAACUCAAUUGUUGGCAAAUGUCCAGUACCCAUCACUGAAUGAUCAUCACCUCAUCAUCCAGCCUUCUCAACUGACAUGCAAAACAACAUCCAAAUAUUCAUUGCACAUCUGUGCUGGACAGAUUAUGCAUUAGCAAUUCAAAUCAAUUCAAUGUACAGGCAGUUUCUGUAAAGGCGUCUGUUUGGGUGAGAUGCCUUGUUGUCUGGGAUGGAUAAUAAGGCAACUCUGUCUAAUCUUGGAGAACAAUCAACCCAUCUUGAGAAGGUGACUGACUACGUAUGCUCUUGCCCUGACAGCGCUAGA